rnacentral:rRNA from 1 species
AUGGAGCUUUAGACACACAGGUGGCCCAUGUCAAACACCCCCUGCCAAGGGCCUGAACUAAAUGGAACCUGCCUUGAUGUCUUCGGUUGGGGCGACCAUGGGGAAUACAAAACCCCCACGUGGAAAGGGAGCACACCCCUAAGUUACUUCUUCUCCCGCAAGCCAGAGCAACAGCUCUAACCAGCAGAAAUUCUGACCAAACUGAUCCGGUAAAACCGAUCAACGAACCA